rnacentral:rRNA from 1 species
AUGAACGCUAGCGACAGGCUUAACACAUGCAAGUCGAGGGGCAGCACAGGUAGCAAUACCGGGUGGCGACCGGCGCACGGGUGAGUAACGCGUAUGCAACUUGCCUAUCAGAGGGGGAUAACCCGGCGAAAGUCGGACUAAUACCGCAUGAAGCAGGGGUCCCGCAUGGGGAUAUUUGCUAAAGAUUCAUCGCUGAUAGAUAGGCAUGCGUUCCAUUAGGCAGUUGGCGGGGUAACGGCCCACCAAACCGACGAUGGAUAGGGGUUCUGAGAGGAAGGUCCCCCACAUUGGUACUGAGACACGGACCAAACUCCUACGGGAGGCAGCAGUGAGGAAUAUUGGUCAAUGGGCGUAAGCCUGAACCAGCCAAGUCGCGUGAGGGAUGAAGGUUCUAUGGAUCGUAAACCUCUUUUAUAAGGGAAUAAAGUGCGGGACGUGUCCUGUUUUGUAUGUACCUUAUGAAUAAGGAUCGGCUAACUCCGUGCCAGCAGCCGCGGUAAUACGGAGGAUCCGAGCGUUAUCCGGAUUUAUUGGGUUUAAAGGGUGCGUAGGCGGCCUUUUAAGUCAGCGGUGAAAGUCUGUGGCUCAACCAUAGAAUUGCCGUUGAAACUGGGGGGCUUGAGUAUGUUUGAGGCAGGCGGAAUGCGUGGUGUAGCGGUGAAAUGCUUAGAUAUCACGCAGAACCCCGAUUGCGAAGGCAGCCUGCCAAGCCAUGACUGACGCUGAUGCACGAAAGCGUGGGGAUCAAACAGGAUUAGAUACCCUGGUAGUCCACGCAGUAAACGAUGAUCACUAGCUGUUUGCGAUACAGUGUAAGCGGCACAGCGAAAGCGUUAAGUGAUCCACCUGGGGAGUACGCCGGCAACGGUGAAACUCAAAGGAAUUGACGGGGGCCCGCACAAGCAGUGGAGUAUGUGGUUUAAUUCGACGCAACGCGAAGAACCUUACCAAGUCUUGACAUCCUGCGACGAUGCUGGAAACAGUAUUUUCCUUCGGGACGCAGAGACAGGUGGUGCAUGGUUGUCGUCAGCUCGUGCCGUGAGGUGUCGGCUUAAGUGCCAUAACGAGCGCAACCCUUGUUGUCAGUUACUAACAGGUGAUGCUGAGGACUCUGACAAGACUGCCAUCGUAAGAUGUGAGGAAGGUGGGGAUGACGUCAAAUCAGCACGGCCCUUACAUCCGGGGCGACACACGUGUUACAAUGGCGUGGACAAAGGGAAGCCACCUGGCGACAGGGAGCGAAUCCCCAAACCACGUCUCAGUUCGGAUCGGAGUCUGCAACCCGACUCCGUGAAGCUGGAUUCGCUAGUAAUCGCGCAUCAGCCAUGGCGCGGUGAAUACGUUCCCGGGCCUUGUACACACCGCCCGUCAAGCCAUGGGAGCCGGGGGUACCUGAAGUCCGUAACCGAAAGGAUCGGCCUAGGGUAAAACUGGUGACUGGGGCU